UUGAACGCUGGCGGCAGGCCUAACACAUGCAAGUCGCGCGGAUGAAGGGAGCUUGCUCCUGGAUUCAGCGGCGGACGGGUGAGUAAUGCCUAGGAAUCUGCCUGGUAGUGGGGGAUAACGCCCGGAAACGGGCGCUAAUACCGCAUACGUCCUGAGGGAGAAAGUGGGGGAUCUUCGGACCUCACGCUAUCAGAUGAGCCUAGGUCGGAUUAGCUAGUUGGUGGGGUAAGGGCCUACCAAGGCGACGAUCCGUAACUGGUCUGAGAGGAUGAUCAGUCACACUGGAACUGAGACACGGUCCAGACUCCUACGGGAGGCAGCAGUGGGGAAUAUUGGACAAUGGGCGAAAGCCUGAUCCAGCCAUGCCGCGUGUGUGAAGAAGGUCUUCGGAUUGUAAAGCACUUUAAGUUGGGAGGAAGGGCAGUAAGUUAAUACCUUGCUGUUUUGACGUUACCAACAGAAUAAGCACCGGCUAACUUCGUG
rnacentral:rRNA from 1 species